rnacentral:tRNA from 1 species
GGGCGAUUAGCUCAGUUUGGUUAGAGCGCCAGCUCGACAAGCUGGAGGCCCCCAGUUCGAGCCUGGGAUCGCCCA